rnacentral:lncRNA from 1 species
CAUGUAUAUACAUACCAAUUUUGUAACAUAGUGGAAAAUUUUCUACCAUAUUAACUACGUACAUAUAAACAAUUACUAAAUUUAGUUAUAUUCAUUUGUUUACAAAUGUAUGUUUUUUAUUUUUUUUUAUUUUUAUAGAUUAAUCUUAAAAAUAAUGUCACAAAACAAGCUAUACAUAUGCCAAACAGAUGGCAGUCGAACUAUUCGAGAAAGUUUGCAUACUUAGAUACAAAAAGUAACAAAAGCGAGGUAAAAAAUAAAACACACAAUUACGAUUUGAAUAAAAAAACAUACUCACUCCGUAAUCUUAAUUUUAUAAAAUUUAUUAGUAUUACUACUACAAGUUUAGUCAUUCCUUUUUUUUUAGCUAGUCUAAUCUUAUACAAUAAAAAUAGAAUAGAGAAUAAAAAUUUAAGUGCUUCUGAAAAAAUUAUAGGAAAGUAUUUAUAUAAAAGUGAAAAAAAUUUAUUUACUGAGAAGUCGAGUGAAUAUGCAGAUCGAGUUGAUAAUAUAUUUUAUAUUAUUAUGAAUAUAUAUAAUAAUAUAUUAACUUUUAUUAAUUUUUAUUUAAAUGUAAAAAAGAUAAAAACAAAGGACAAUAUAAAUGAAUAUAAUAUAUUAUUUUUUCAUUCAUACAAUGUAGAUAAAUUUUUAAAUUCAAGAAAUGUUAAAACAUAUGCUGAAAGAUUAAAAGAAAUUUAUAAAGAUAUAAAUAAAAAUAAUAAUGUUAAUAUAAUUUACGUUCCAUUAGAUAGUAAAAUAUUAUUUAACAUUAAACAUUUUGCAAAUAUGAAUAAUUGGUACAGUGUAUUAUUUCAUGAUAAAAAACGUAUUUUUAAUUUAAUAAAAAAUUAUAAUAUUAUGAAUAUUCCUACUAUGGUUUUAUUAGAUAAAAAUAUGAAUAUAAUAAAAGAUAACAUUAAUUAUUUAUUAUUACAUCAAAAAAAUGAUUUCCCAUAUAAAAAUAUGAAUAAUCUUACUUACAUUAAUGAAUUAUAUGAUAAAAAUAAUAAUAAAUAUAAAUUUAAAGAUUUACAUUCUGAUUAUGUUUUUUUUUAUUUCGACAAUAACAAAAAUAAUAAAGAAGAUAUUGAAUCUUUGAUUACAAUAAAAAAUAAAUUAGCUAAAAAAAAUAUAAAACUGGAUAUUAUUUUUGUAAAAGAUAUUCAAAAGAAAUUAAAAAAAAGUGAUACAAUUGGUAACACUACCAGUUCUGAUACUUAUAACAGUAGUAUCGAUAAAAAUAAUGACAAUAAUGAAAACGGUGAUGAUAGUAAACAGCUUGACAGUAAUAGUCAGACUAAUCCCCAUUCAAACACAAUAAAUGAAAUAGACAAAAAUGAUGAAAAUUUAUUAACAAAACAAACAGAAGGAAGAAAGGGUAAUAUACAUGAUAAUAAUGAUAGUGGGAAAAAUGGAGUAACAAAUUUUACCCAAAAUGGUAUAAGUGGUAAAAAUGGUAUAAGUGGUAAAAAUGG